rnacentral:lncRNA from 1 species
UUGCUGGGGGACGCCUUCCUGCACCUCAUCCCCCACGCCCUGGGUGCGAUUUUGGGUCAUUUUGGGUCAUUUUGGGGCGUUUUGGGGUGUUUUGGGGUUUUUUGGGGUGUUUUUGGGGUGGUUUUGGGUGGUUCUUGGGCUGGUUUUUGGGGCUGUUUUGGGGUUUGCUGGGGGACGCCUUCCUGCACCUCAUCCCCCACGCCCUGGGUGCGAUUUUGGGACAUUUUGGGGUGUUUUGGGGCUUUUUGGGUCAUUUUGGGGUGUUUUGGGGUUUUUUUGGUUGUUUUUGGGCUGUUUUUGGGGCUGUUUGGGGUUGAUUUUGGUAUGAUUUGGGGCGGUUUGGGGUGGUUUUGGGACAUUUUGGGCUUGUUUUGGGGCUGGUUUUGGGUGUUUUGGAACAUUUUGGGGUGUUUUGGGGUGUUUUUGGGCUGUUUUGGGGUGUUUUGGGGUUUUUUGGGGUGUUUUUGGGGCUGUUUCUGGGCGGUUUUAGGGUGAUUUUUGGGUGGUUCUUGGGGUGUUUUUGGGGCUGUUUUGGGGUUUGCUGGGGGACGCCUUCCUGCACCUCAUCCCCCACGCCCUGGCCCCCCACGAGCACCACGAGGGUCACGGCCACUCCCACCACGGGCACGGGCAGGCUCUGGCCGUGGGGCUCUGGGUCCUGGCAGGAAUCGUCGCCUUCCUGGGGGUGGAGCUGGGCGUCCGGCACUGCGGCCACGGCCACGGCCACGGUGAGACCGGGGGGGAGAAUGGGGGAAAAAACGGGGAUUUUGGGAAAAAAUGAGAAUUUGGGGGGAAAAAUGGGGAUUUUGGGGGGAAAAAUUGGGGAUUUUGGGGAAAAAACGGGGAUUUUUGGGAAGAAAAUGGGAUUUUGGGGGAAAAAAUGGGGGAUUUGGGGGAAAGAAUGGGGAUUUUUGG